UCAGUUAUAGUUUAUUUGAUGGUUUUCUACUUGGAUAACCCGAGUAAUUCUCUGGCUAAUAUACGCUGAAGACCCUUUACUGGGUUGUAUUUAUUAGAUCUUUACUAACUUUGUUGGUGAGUCAUGAUAAGAUAACAGAUCGCAUUUGGGGUAACCCGGCGACGGAUCAUUCAAGUUUCUGCCCUAUCAACUUUCGAUGGUACGGUAUUGGCCUACCAUGGUGACCACGGGUAACGGGGAAUUAGGGUUCGAUUCCGGAGAGGGAGCCUGAGAAAUGGCUACCACUUCUAAGGAAGGCAGCAGGCGCGCAAAUUACCCAAUCCUGACAUAGGGAGGUAGUGACAAUACAUACUAAUGCGGGGCUUUUGCCUUGCAAUUGGAA
rnacentral:rRNA from 1 species